rnacentral:rRNA from 1 species
GAUGAACGCUGGCGGCGUGCUUAACACAUGCCAGUCGAACGGGAAUUAUUUUAUUGAAACUUCGGUCGAUUUCAUUUAAUUCUAGUGGCGGACGGGUGAGUAACGCGUGGGUAACCUGCCUUAUACAGGGGGAUAACAGUCAGAAAUGGCUGCUAAUACCGCAUAAGCGCACAGAGCUGCAUGGCUCAGUGUGAAAAACUCCGGUGGUAUAAGAUGGACCCGCGUUGGAUUAGCUGGUUGGUGGGGUAACGGCCCACCAAGGCGACGAUCCAUAGCCGGCCUGAGAGGGUGAACGGCCACAUUGGGACUGAGACACGGCCCAGACUCCUACGGGAGGCAGCAGUGGGGAAUAUUGCACAAUGGGGGAAACCCUGAUGCAGCGACGCCGCGUGAAGGAAGAAGUAUCUCGGUAUGUAAACUUCUAUCAGCAGGGAAGAUAGUGACGGUACCUGACUAAGAAGCCCCGGCUAACUACGU